rnacentral:rRNA from 1 species
GAUGAACGCUGGCGGCGUGCCUAAUACAUGCAAGUCGAGCGAACAGACGAGGAGCUUGCUCCUCUGACGUUAGCGGCGGACGGGUGAGUAACACGUGGAUAACCUACCUAUAAGACUGGGAUAACUUCGGGAAACCGGAGCUAAUACCGGAUAAUAUCUUGAACCGCAUGGUUCAAUAGUGAAAGACGGUUUUGCUGUCACUUAUAGAUGGAUCCGCGCCGCAUUAGCUAGUUGGUAAGGUAACGGCUUACCAAGGCAACGAUGCGUAGCCGACCUGAGAGGGUGAUCGGCCACACUGGAACUGAGACACGGUCCAGACUCCUACGGGAGGCAGCAGUAGGGAAUCUUCCACAAUGGGCGAAAGCCUGACGGAGCAACGCCGCGUGAGUGAUGAAGGUCUUCGGAUCGUAAAACUCUGUUAUUAGGGAAGAACAAAUGUGUAAGUAACUAUGCACGUCUUGACGGUACCUAAUCAGAAAGCCACGGCUAACUACGUG